rnacentral:sRNA from 1 species
UUGAUAAAUUAAUGUAUGUACAUGUGUAAUAAUAUACGUACAUCUUUGUUUGUAAAUUAAAUUACUAAGAAAAUUUUAUUGAUACAAUAUUAAACCAAUAUUGACAGUGGGCGAGAUAUAUUCUAAGACGUUCAUACGAUGUGAUUUUGAAACAUUCUGAAUUCUUGACGACUUGAGCAGUCAAAUGUCAUAGACAAGUAUCAUCAACGCAUAUCAUCACCAAUCUUGUAGGAUAUGACCUAGGUUGCUUAUAG